rnacentral:rRNA from 1 species
CCAGCAACGCCGCGUGAGGGAUGAAGGCUUUCKGGUUGUAAACCUCUUUUCAUAGGGAAGAAUAAUGACGGUACCUGUGGAAUAAGCUUCGGCUAACUACGUGCCAGCAGCCGCGGUAAUACGUAGGAAGCAAGCGUUAUCCGGAUUUAUUGGGCGUAAAGUGAGCGUAGGUGGUCUUUCAAGUUGGAUGUGAAAUUUCCCGGCUUAACCGGGACGAGUCAUUCMAUACUGUUGGACUAGAGUACAGCAGGAGAAAACGGAAUUCCCGGUGUAGUGGUAAAAUGCGUAGAUAUCGGGAGGAACACCAGAGGCGAAGGCGGUUUUCUAGGUUGUCACUGACACUGAGGCUCGAAAGCGUGGGGAGCGAACAGACAUUAGAUACUCUGGUAGUCCACGCCUUMAACUAUGGACACUAGGUAUAGGGAGUAUAU